rnacentral:rRNA from 1 species
UACGUAGGGGGCAAGCGUUGUCCGGAAUCAUUGGGCGUAAAGAGCGUGUAGGCGGCCCGAUAAGUCCGCUGUGAAAGUCCAGGGCUCAACCCUGGAAUGCCAGUGGAAACUGUCGGUCUAGAGUCCGGAAGAGGCGAGUGGAAUUCCUGGUGUAGCGGUGAAAUGCGCAGAUAUCAGGAGGAACACCGAUGGCGAAGGCAGCUCGCUGGGACGGUACUGACGCUGAGACGCGAAAGCGUGGGGAGCAAACAGG